GAAAAUGAGACUACCCAGCACUUUGGAUUCUGCCUUCUGUUUGGCACUCAAGUGUGUUAAGUCCAGCACGAUCCUCAUGCAGAAAGUCUGUUCAAGUGCUGGGUCACCUCCUUGUGUCAAACAUUUUCUUCCGGGGGGAGAAAAUCAAUCUAUUUGCUGCACUAGUUGUUAUGCAAUCUGCUAUCUGGACAUCAUACCGCUGAUAUGCUGAAAACAUCUCUCAACUGACAGCUUUCUGAAACUGGCUUUCCCAGCUAUCCAGCUGAUGAGCUUACAGCCAUCCCACAUUCUCCUGACUGCUGCAAUUUCGCAAGCAGGGCCUAGUGAGAUUUGGAGUCUGUGAAUUCCAGCAGCCUGCAAUGGUGUUCCUGGGUUCUUGCUGGCAUGUGUCUGCAUCUGGCUCAUGCUUCUUUAUCAGGUGGUUAAGCAAACUGCCCAUUUCUGGAAAAGUUCAGUGGCACAAAAGAAAAUUUGCUUGUGGCUUCUCUUUGGUAUGGCAUUGCAGAAUUGACCUAUUAUUUCACAAUUGGGGUAGGAGAAUAUGCUGGUUGGCAAAAGUCACAUAUUCUUUCAAUUCUUCUCAAGUGCCCACUUGCAGAUUCUGCAUAUAAAAAAGAUCAAAUGGUAGAGGGAGCCAAGAUGGCAGAACAGCAUGGAAGUUUUUUGUUUGUCUUGCAUCCAUGAAAUACAGCCAGACCAACACUAAACCAUCCUCCACACCUAGAAACUGAUCUGAGGAUUAACACAACAAUCUGCACAACCUGAACCACAGAAUUCAGCAGUCUCUCUGACAGCUAUGACUCAGUUUCUUUGGGUAAGAAGAGAAUGGCAACAUCAGCAACAACCUCACAACACUGCUGUGAGAAUUAAAUGUGGGGACCUGUGUAAAGCCCUCGACACAGUUUCUGGCACAGAUUUGCCAGAGUUAUGCUAUCAUGGAUUACUCGGCCAGUGUUGUCAAUUCCUUUGACCUAAAGUGCAAAGUGAAGAAAUGUGAGAUGCAGAUGAUCAAGAAGAACAUUACCAAGAAGAGGAAUGGUGUUGAUUGCCCCUGACCUUUAGUGACUCACAUGGAAGUAUCUUUAUGCAUAUGGGAUAUGCAUGAACGUUUAAAAGUACUGGGUCUUCAAAACUAGCCUUCGUAGGACUUCACACAGGGCCAGCUGAUGUCUGGCAGGUUAGACUCUUGCCAGACUCUCUUCCUUGGAAAGCAGACCACCCCGUUCACACGUUUCACCAUUGUAUGGAUGCUUUGACAAACUGGGUUGCAAAGAUCCAGAGAAGAGUGGGUGAUACCCUUACCCUGCCUCUUGACCUAACGUGGGCACGAUUUGCCUGGCCCUCUCUGGAGGUCUGACUCCGUGAUCUAAGCUGCGCCAAAGAUGGGAUUACAAACCCCAGGGAUUGCUGAGAAGCGCUAAUGCUGCCUCUAUCCCAUACUCCCGUGACUCUGAAAGGCUCUUAUUUGCUCCCCCUUGCUGAGAAGGCAGCUGUGUUGUGGCGAUAUCGGUCCAUCCGACUUUACAGCAGCCUGCGAGGCCUCCUGUGACAUGGAAUAAUGUCCCAGAAAUCCAAACCGCCAGCGAGGCGCAGAGAUCAGCACGGCAUUUGUGGUUCUUGGGGCCGGACCCGAGGUCCGCCUGGGACAUCUCCAUGUAAAUGAAUGCUGGGGACAGGAUUUGGACAGCUUAAUCCUGCAUUGUAAGAAAGGCUGGAGCCAAUGUAAGUUCCAGACACGCUUUCAUUCAGAACUGGAAUAAAAUUUGACUAUCUUCAA